AGAAGUAGAAAAGAAAAGAAGAAUUUUGUAGAAUGGGUUUGAAGAUAGUGUUAGUGGCUAUUAUGAUGGUUGGUUUGGUUUUGUGUUCAGGAAAUGAAAUUAAGAAUAGUGGUAAGGUAGCAAAGCAAGGAGAGAUUUGUCCGCAAGAAUGGUUUUCCAUGGAUAUGUUUUGUGACUCUGACGCACAGUGUCACCAACAAGCUGGUG
rnacentral:lncRNA from 1 species